rnacentral:rRNA from 1 species
AACGAACGCUGGCGGCAUGCCUAACACAUGCAAGUCGAACGAGACCUUCGGGUCUAGUGGCGCACGGGUGCGUAACGCGUGGGAACCUGCCCUUAGGUUCGGAAUAACUCCCCGAAAGGGGUGCUAAUACCGGAUAAUGUCUUCGGACCAAAGAUUUAUCGCCUUUGGAUGGGCCCGCGUUGGAUUAGCUAGUUGGUAGGGUAAAAGCCUACCAAGGCGACGAUCCAUAGCUGGUCUGAGAGGAUGAUCAGCCACACUGGGAAUGAGACACGGCCCAGACUCGUACGCGAGGGAGCAGUGGGUAAUAUUGGACGAGGGGCGAAAGCCUGAUCCCGCAAUGCCGCGUGAGUGAUGAAGGCCUUAGGGAUGUAAAGCUCUUUUACCCGGGAUGAUAAUGACAGUACCGGGAGAAUAAGCGCCGGCUAACUCCGUG